CCCUCAGGUGUGUGUUGUGUCCCAGCGGGAGGCUGAUCUGGAUCGGACCUCGGACCUGGAGCUCCUGGCCUCCAGAGUAGAGCAGGACGCUGACGGCUGCCACCGCCUUCAGCUCGAUGCUUCUGAACGCUGCACAGGUUCAGCUGAGGACAGAUCUGAGCUUAAAGGAACAGAAGGUUGUGUCAUGAUGGAGGCCUCAGUCUUCAGGGAUGAGGAUGGAUGUUGAUGUUCAACCUCCUCGAUCCACAGGACCGUCUAACACCUGAAUCCACGAAGCCACAGGAGAAACAAGAAUCACUUUUAAAUCCAGAUGUUGGAGAGCAGAAGUCCUAAACGUGCUGAUGGAAUGGAGCCAGUGGAAGACGCUUUUAGGUUUACCUUCGUGCUGGUUGGGCCACCUUGCUGCGGGGGGCGGAGCUUGUGGUGCCCACGAAGGAAGCGGGGCGAGGCAGGCCACUGCGAGGCGUGGUGGGCGUGGCGGUGGGCGUCGCCGAGCCGCCGGCCGGUUUACU